rnacentral:lncRNA from 1 species
CAGGGGAGUUGGAAAGACAACCUCUCCUUGAGGAACCAAACUAAGGUCUGUCUCCUUCAAAAAGCCUUCUGUGAUCGCUCCAUCUCAGUCAUUUCUCUGCUCUUCUGGUUUACUGGAGGCUGUGAUUGGAUUAAAUUAAAUAAUUACUGAAAAUCCUCUAGGGAAAAGCCCAUUUUGCUGGGUGCUAAGGCAGGGAGAGAGGAGGUGGUGGGAACCAACAGUGCGCCUGCCCAGUGCUUGAGGAGUGACAGUCUGUGGAAGGACACACACUGGACAGUCACACCCUGCGAGAAAAAAAAAGAUGGGGCUGACUUCUGCAAAUUUUGGAUACCGUGAUGACCUCAGAAAACCUAGAGGACCUUCCACAACCUUGUGGCAGCUUCAGACUAAGAGACUCUUUUCAGGACUGGAGGAUUUAUUGCCCAAAAUGCUGGGAACAUUGCUGACUGACAGCUCUCAGCUGUUAGCCCACUGUGGAAUUGCCUCGGCUGAACAGAGACACUUUGCCCAACUUCAGGACCCCUUCUCCAGGCAGACCGUGAUCAACAAAGGAUCAAUACAGGGGUAUAAAGGUCUAAAACUCUCAGACCAACUCAGAACAACUCUGAAGGACCAUCCAACAUCAGAGGUCCCGUGGGGUCAGCUGAGGUCUUUGUAAACACCACAUCAGAGCCCAUCUUCUCCCGCUGCCCAAUCCUGCUUCCUUUCCUUGCGUUCCAC